CCUACGGGAGGCAGCAGUGAGGAAUAUUGGUCAAUGGCCGGAAGGCUGAACCAGCCAUGCCGCGUGAAGGGCAGAGCCCUAAGGGAGUUAAACUUCUUUUGUGCGGGAGCAAUAAUGGGCACGUGUGGCCAGACGAGAGUACCGUACGAAUAAGCAUCGGCGAACUCCGGGCCAGCAGCCGCGGGAAUACGGGGGAUGCAAGCGUUAUCCGGAUUUAUUGGGGUUAAAGGGUGCGUAGGCUGGGAGGUAAGUCAGCGGUGAAAUGCCCCCGGUCAACGGGGUGAAGGGCCAUUGAUACUGCCUUGCUGGAGUGCGGAUGCCGUAGGCGGAAUGUGUGGUGUAGCGGUGAAAUGCAUAGAUAUCACGCAGAACACCGAUUGCGAAGGCAUCUCACGAAUCCGCGAUUGACGCUGAUGCACGAAAGCGUGGGUAUCAAACAGGAUUAGAUACCCUUGUAGUC
rnacentral:rRNA from 1 species